UUGCAAGUGGUGCGGGAUGACCCGCCACGCCGCUAGGCCGCCCCGCAAAAAACGCCCGCGCGGCGCCGCUGGGCCGACCGCGUCGAUAGUAGCGGGAUAGAGCGGUCACGCCGCUCGGCCCGCUAGCAGCCCGCAGUACCGCAUUAGCCCGCAACCAUCAGUUUGCGCACACUCCGUCUCUCCCCCGACCCUCGUUGACCACCGCCUCCACGCCGCCGGCGCCGGCGCCGGCACACGGGAGAUGCCCCGGCCUCCUCUUCCGACUCACCCCCGUCUCGGAGGACCCGCUCGCAGUUCUUGAUGGUGGGGUUGAUGGCGGCGCCGCCGCCAUCUCCAAAUCCGGACUGCCCUGCUGGAAUCGUUGACGGAGAGUUCUUCCUCCACCGUCAACUUCCGCCGGCGUUUCGUCGCUAUCAACUUCCGCAAGAUCUACAUCGUCGAUGUGCCCUAUUCUCUCCUCCAAGAACAAAGGAUCCCUGGCAUCUGUAGAAAUCACUGCCCAAGAUCAUCUCCAAGGUUUUAGACUGCAAGGUGAAGGAUCAACAACUAUGUACAUGGCAAAUAUUAUUUUUUGUAAUGAGCCAGAAGAGUUCUCUAGCGCCGGCUUCGGCGGUAGUCGGCUUCGGCUGUUACCGGCGCAAAUUUUCUCCUCUACAGCCAUAUUGGCGAUCGGUUAGAUAAGCUCUAACGGUGUGGUCGAAACAGAAGCAAGUACCAUUGUGAAUAAUUAUAGCCUGAUAAUUUGAUGCUAAGAAUGCAUGGUGUUUGAUUCUGUUAUUUCACUACCUUUUGGUUUAUAAUCAGCUCAGUACCUUGUGGUCAUGGUUCAUUUUGACAACAUGAAUUUCAUUGAUUU